UACGAAGGGGGCUAGCGUUGUUCGGAAUUACUGGGCGUAAAGCGCGCGCAGGCGGUCUUCCAAGUCAGAGGUGAAAUCCCAGGGCUCAACCUUGGAACUGCCUUUGAAACUCCUGGUCUUGAGGUCGAGAGAGGUGAGUGGAAUUCCGAGUGUAGAGGUGAAAUUCGUAGAUAUUCGGAGGAACACCAGUGGCGAAGGCGGCUCACUGGCUCGAUACUGACGCUGAGGUGCGAAAGCGUGGGGAGCAAACAGG
rnacentral:rRNA from 1 species